rnacentral:lncRNA from 1 species
CAGUUCGUCCCUGUUCGGGACCACGACGAACUCCAAUCCCUGAGAGGAACCAUAGAAGAGCUAUCUGUCGUCCGUGGGGAGGGAAGGACCGAGCUGCAGCAGUAGAAGAUCCAGCUGGUAUACGAGCAGCAGGCGGUCAAGGAUGCGAAGGCAGAGUCUGAGGUCCUGAGAAAAAGGCUCCGAGAGGCAGAGAAUGAAAGCCAAUGGUUUCAUCGAAGGUAUAUGGAGGUGCUAAUGAGAGAG